rnacentral:lncRNA from 1 species
GACCCAGAUUAUGUGCUAUUCUAAACCGUUACUAGACUGCUGCCUCAUCCACUAGGUAUUUCUUUCAGUUGCCAAUUCUUAAUCCAUUAGUGCUUGUACCUUUGACAGCUUUUUGUAUUUCCUGUGUAUACGUUCUCUCAUUAUCUUGUUUUUCCCACCACAGCCCUAAGUCUUAAUGCAGACAAGUUGUUAACUAUUUUUCCUAAUGAUCCUGAUUCUUAAUACAAGUCCUUUCAUGUUAUGGAAUGUUAAUGUUUGUCCUUUACGACUGUAUCUUAACCCUAAAGGAAGACCAGUGAAAUUCUUCAUCACCUUUCCAUUUUGAAAUAGUGAUCAUCAAAAAGAUUACCUUUUAACUGCGGUUCUAACUUUGCUUUAUAGCUUUAAAUAUUGUCAGUUAUUAUUAGCAUCAGUUAUUAACAGCAUUAUUAAUGCCCAUAACCUGCAUUCAAAGCCAUAUUUAAAAACUUAAAGGUAGCUCUCAUGAAAGUUUCCAAAAACAAGAUAAUUUCAUAAUAAUAUUCACGGUACUAAGAGCCAUUUCUUAACAUGGGCUGUAACAGAUAACUGUGAAGUUCUUUUUUCUUAAAGACCAGAGUUUUCCAAGAUUCAUGUUAAAAUCACAGGCAUACUGGGAGCCUAGUUUAACUAGAGAGUGUUCAUGAGGUUUGAUAAGGAAAACUCCCUUCCCCCACGGGGAAAACUGGAAGGGGAGAAGUAUUCAUUGUAUGGGCCCUGAUCCCCUCAUGUUCCCUAGAGUAGCUGUGUGUGGCUGACUUUGUAGCCAUUUGUCCCAUUUCUCGAAUGAAAGAAACAUGGACUUGUAGGUCAUGUCUGAAUUCAAGAUAUUCCUCUACCAAGGGGAUUUGGCAAGUUAUUUGGCCCUUGCCCUUACCUCACAGCAUUUUGUUAAGCAAGUUCUAUUUUUAGCUGUGCAAUUCAAAAUUAGUAUUAGCAUCCAACUAUUUAGAAGAGUUUGAAUUCUACAUUUCCUAUGAACACCGUUCAAAAUACAGCUGUUUCAGAAUACUUCAUGAAAUGAGAUCUGAUUCUGAACAAGAUUUUCAUGAAAACACUGGGCCCUUUGAUUCCAAGUGUUCUCUGGUUUUGCUGCCUCUGCUUAGUUUAAUUCUAACCUAAGUUCAGGAACAGAGCAAAUUGCUAUCCUGUCUGCUUUUAUAUGUCAUCCAAUUCCUUUCCCCUACAUCAGCCAUCACCUCAACCACAUGUGGUUGUAGUGUUUCUAUGUAUGCCUUUGCUACAAUCUCUCAAACAGUAGCUAAUGAUCUAUUUAAAACGUUAAUCACAUGUUCUUCUAAUACAUAAAGCUUCCAAUGGUUUCACAUUUCACUCUGAAUAAAAUACAAACCCCUGACUCUGGCUGUAUGUAAUCCAGUCCUUGCCAGCCUCUUCCCUCAACCAACCUUUCUCUUCCUCAAAUGUGCACAUAUCUAUUCCUGAGUCUUUUGCCCUUGCCGUCCUUUCUUGCUUCGGAGGCUCUCCCAAAUCUUAUUUGAUAGGCUUCAUCAUUCAGGUGCCAUUCUCUCCACCGGGGGUGCAUUCACACCCUAAAAUAAGCUCCCCAGACAUGUUCUAUUCAUCAUGUUCUAUUCCUUAGCACUAAUUUUUUUCAUAAUAACCACUAUCUGAAAUUACCUGAUUUUAUCACUUUUACUCAUAAGAAUAUAAGCUUCAAGAAAGCAGAAGAGUGUGGUUUAUUCAUUAUUGUAUAUUACUCACCUAAUCCUACAACAGUGCCUGACCCAUAAUAGGGCAUGCAACAAAUACUGAGAAAUGAAUGAAUUUCAAUUGAUGCUAAUUCUCUGACAUUUUAAGCUUUCAUCUUUCAAGCAUGAGCAUGUGCUCUUUAUCCAGUUGCCCCUCUGUGAAUGUAUGUAUUCUUUUCACAAGGUUCUAGGUUCCUGGAGCUCACAGUUGAAAGGGGACAGAGACCUAUAAACAAUGGCCUGGGGUAGCAAACUGGUAGGUCAUGGCCAAAUCCUAGCUUGCACAUGUAUCUGGUUUGUGCAAUGUUAGUUUUAAAUGAACUAACUGGUACAGUUUUUAUUGGAAAUAUUCACAUAAAAUCCUAAACUUCCAGCUUCUUUUAAAAAAGUUAAAAUACAUGAGAUCUACAAUCCCUGGCAGCAACUGACUGGCACCAAGUAGCCCUCCGGUUGGGGUGUACACAUUCUAGUGCAUUCCAGUUCCUUCCAUUCCCUAUUCACAACAAUGAAGGCAGGUCUUGUUUUGCAUUUAUCAGUGUGCUGACCAUGGUAUUUUUCUUGAAUCCUGCUCUUUUUGCUCCCUGAUAUACCUGCCUGGUCUUUGCAGUAGACCCCUAACAUCUCAGAGAAUAAUCCAAGACCUAUAUAAAUCCCACAUCUGUGAAUGUGGCAUAGUAUGUAUAGGAUACUAUGUCAACUGAAAAUCAUAUUAUUUACCAUGCCCGGCAUCUCUUUACUGGUCAACCACUGAUAACCAUGGUUAACCUUUCCAAACUGGAAUUCCUCAUUGGAGGAGCUUUUGCAUAGCUGAAGCACUGUGAAAAAAUUCACACAUGGACUCUUCCUGUUUUUAUACAGAGUAUAUAACACAUCAGAUCUUCAUACAGAGUAUGAGGUACAGCAUAAGUCUAAGCCACCAUGAGGUUAAAUAUUCCACCCUAAAUUACAAAACUAAUUUUCUGCUCAAAAUGUAUUAUUUUCUUGGCCCUUUUCAAACCAAGUUUUAUUAAUUUAACUAUUACUGCAACAUUGACUAACAAUGUACAAUGAUGUCACGUUGAAACUGGUUAGUCCUAUCAGACUAUAUUUUACACAUGAGGGAAGUUAAGAGUUAGCAAAUGAACUUUUAACUUACUUGAAAAUAGUGAAAUUGCAAAUGUUAAGUGUCUGCUGUAAUUACAUUUAACCUGAUGAGGGCUACCAUGAUAGGUUUCUACUUAGAGAAAUAAAAGGUAGAGAAAGUCUUGAUGGCUACAUAUGUGGCCAAUAUCUUCACAGAAUAGCUGCUUGCGGGGUGCUUGCUUUCCAGUUGGGAGGCGAUGUUUUUAAAAGCCAAAUCACAUCCAAAGUAAUCUCCAGUACAGUUUAGGGCCAAGCCUGCAGUACAGUAAGUGCUGUGUUUAAAAAAGGAAAAGGGACCACUGUGGCCCAGAGGGCCUUGGAAAGUUUUCAUCGAGAAUAGGGAACGUGGGCUGGCCUAGAACAGGAAGGGCCUGAAGGGCCAAGACGGAAAGGCAAUGUAACAUGGAGGCAGUGUGCGAGGUGUUCGCUGGAGCGUGUGCUGGGGGGACACCAGGCCUGUUGCUCCGGCCAGAGAAGCUGGCACGGGGAGCAGCAUACUUACGGAGUCACACUGCUGGGGGUCAGUGUUUAGCUCCUCCACUUUUUAUCUAUCUAAUUUUGCACACACUACUCAACAUCUCCAAACUUCCAUUUCCCAUUUGAAGAGUUAGUUAUUGAGUCUGCUGUAUUCAGAUGUUAUGAGGAUUAAAAUAAAUAAUGUGUGUGUGUGUGUGUGUGUGUGUGUGUGUGUGUGUGUGUGUGUAUAUAUAUAUAUAUAAUGCAUUUAGCACAGGAGGCUUGUAGUGAAUGUUCACCAGAUGCUACUCUCAUUAUAUCAGUAUCAUCAGAGGCUUGUGGAUGCCACCAGAGAGCCACCGUGUUAAGCAGGUGACUAUUAAUUUCCUAGGAUCGCUAUAACCAAUAUUACCACAUACUUGCUGACUUAAAUUUAUUCUCACAAUUCUGAAGGCUAGAUAUCAAGGUGUUGGCAGGGCUGUGCUCCCUUUGAAGGUUCUAGGGAAGAAUCCUUGGAUUCUCCCUAGCUUCUUGUGGCUCCCAGCCAUUCGUGGCAUUCGUUGGCUUGUAGCUGUGUCACUGCAUUCUCUGCCUCCAUCUUCACGUGGACUUUUUCUCUCUGUGUAUGUCCGCCUUAUAAAGACACCGGUCACUGGAUUUAGGUGUGACCGCAUCUAAACUAAUUACAUCUGCAAAGACACUAUUUACAAAUAAAGUCACACUGUAAGGUUCUAGAUGGACAUGAAUUUGAGGGAGGGUGGGGAGGACUAUUAAACCCACUACAAUGACAUAAGAAAAACAAGUUGAAAGACACUGAAGUGAAUAUUUUUUUAUUUAUUUGAGAGAGAGAGAGAGAGAGAGAACACACACAAGCAGGGGAUGGGCAGAGAGAGAAUCCCAAGCAGGCUCCAUGCUAUCAGCACAGAGCCUGACUUGGGGCUCGAUCUCAUAAACCAUGAAAUCAUGACCUGAACUGAAAUCAAAAGUUGGACGCUCAACCAACUGAGCCACUCAGGCGCCCCUGAAGUGAACAUUUUUUUAACUUUCAUUGUGAAAUAAUUUCAGAAGAAUUCCUGUAUAUCUCUCACCCAGAUUCCCCAAAUGUUAACAUUUUACCUCCCUUGCUUUAUCACUCUCUCUCCCUCUACGGGUGUAUGUACUGGAUUUUCUGAUAUGUUUGAGAGUAAGCUGCAGUGAUGAUGUCCGUUUACCUGUAUUUCAAUGUAUACCCCCUAAAAAUCAGGACAUUUAUCUUACAUAUCUGUAGUAUAAUUAUCAAAGUUAGGAAAUUACAAAAACUAUACUGACCUAUUCAAAUAUUGCCAAUUUUCCUAAUGGCCUUUUCUGGCCCAGGAUCUAAUCUAGAAUCACACAUUCCCUUUAGUUUCGUUUCAUCUGAAAUAGUUUCUCAGUCUUUCAUGACUGUGACAUUUUUUUGUUUGGGGGAGAUUUGUUUUAUUUUUUCCAUUAUAGUUUGAUAAAUUUCAAGCCUCUAAGAACAAUUAUGAGCAGUACAGCUAGUACCUUUCUAUUCGUUACCUGAGACUCACUAAUAGUUGUAUUUUGCUACACUUGUGUCAUCUCUCUAGGCAUAUAUGUAUGUGUAUAUACAUACACACAUAUUUUUGUUUUCUGAACCAUUUAAGUCACUUCACCUUUAAAUAUUUUAGCAUAUAGCACAAACAAUCAAGGACAUUUGCCCACAUUGCCACAAUUUAACUGUCAUCACACUCAGGAAAUUUAGCACCGAUAUAGUUAUGUAAUACACAGUUUAUGUUAGAAUUUUCCAGAUUGUUUUAAAAAUGUGUAUAACUGGGUAUUGGUUGGUUGAUGCAGGAUCCAAAGAUUAUAUAUAGUAUUUAGUUUAAUAUCUCUUAGGCUUCAUUAAUCUAGAAAAGUCCCUGUGGUCAGAUCCAUGUUAAACAUUUUUGGUAGGCACACUACAAAGAUAAUAUUAUGUUCUCAGUGUAACACCAAGCAGGCACAUGUCAAUUUGUCCUAUUAUCAUUGAUAGUAACUUUGAUCAUGUGACUAAGGUGGUGUUCACCAGAUUCCGUCACUGGGAAGGUACUUUCAAUCUGUACUCUAUGGGGUUAUACAUGAAGACUGAAUUUCCUGUUCCUUGACAGUUUUUACCAAUGACUUUAGCAUCCAUUAAUGGUAUUGCCUAAAUCAAGUUUUGUUUUGUUUCGUUUUGUUACUAGUAGUUGGAAAAUGUGAUUCUUCUAUUUCUAGCCUGUUUAAGCAUUUAUUGGUUGGCAUUCUUCUCAUUAUUCCUCUCAUUAUUCAUUCUGAUGCUGGUAUUACCCCAAAUUAGGCCAGUGGAAACUCCUGUAAGCUAGCUCCCUUGACCUUUCAAUAACAUCCUCAUUAGUUUUGGGCAUUAUAUGUUAUUUUCUUUUAAAACAAGAUAAUCCAGGCUCACCUUGUACUUUCUCUGCUUCAACCCUGGAACAAGCCAUUCCUCUAAGAAGUACAGGUUCCCGUUAGUAAGGGACCAAGUUCGGGCAUAAGGUAUGCGUGUUGCUAUCGCGGUGUUACUGCUUCUACAUGGAGGUUUCACAUGAAACCUCCAAUUCUAAUCCAUCACUAGGGGGUUAUUUUCCUCCUUCCUCCCAGUGUAAACCAGUGGUUUUGCAAAUGUCCCUUAACUGAGGUUCGUCCCAUGUUUCCUCAUGACUAGACUCAGGUUUUGUGCUUUGGGUAGGAAUAUGAUAGAAGUGAGUUGUGUCUUUCUCAGUGCAUCAGAUAAGGAGGCACAUGUUGACUGGUUCCAUCACUAACGGAAUUGCUUUUGAUUACUGGUUAAGGCGGUGUCUGCCAGUGUUCUCAGACUAGUUUCCCCUUUGUAAUGAAUAUCUUAUGUGGGGACAGCUUGGGUGGCUCAGUGGGUUGAAUGUCUGGCUUCGGCUCAGGCCAUAAUCUCAUAGUUUGUGGGUUCGAGCCCUGCAUUGGGCUCUGUGCUGACAGCUCAGAGCCCGGAGCCUUCCUCGGAUUCUGUGUCUCCCUCUCUGAGCUUCCCCCACUCACACUGUGUCUCUCUCAGAAAUAAAUAAAAAACGUUAAAAAAAAUAAGUAUCUAAUGUGGGAGAUGCUUCAAGAUCACAUACUGUUUUUCAUCAUAAUUCUGCCUACUAAUUUUAGUACCCAUUGCUUUUAGCCUGAAAAUAAUUAUUCCAGCAUAUAAUAAUAAUUCCAGCAUUCCUUCUUCCAUUUAUUAGUUGGAAUCCCACUGUAAGGAAGAGCUUUCCCUUCUUCGUUUAUCCUUUGUUUAUGUAUAUCAGUAUGGACUCAUUUUGUGGGUUAUAAUCCAUUACUAUCACUAAUUUGUUAUAGUUAUCCCAGAUAUGGCCAACGAGAAAUGCUGUAAGAUAGCUCCCGUGUCCUUUGAGAUAAAUAUUUUUUUAAAUGGUUAGUUAUUUUUGAGAGAGAGAGAGGCAGAGAGCACGUGCGCAUGUGCACACAAGCAGGUGAGGGGCAGAGAUAGAGGGAAACAGAAUCUGAAGCAGGCUCCAGGCUCUGACAGCAAGGAGCCCAAUGCGGGGCUUUAACUCAACGAACUGUGAGAUCCUCACUUUAGCCAAAGUCGGACACUCAACUGACUGUCCACCCCAGCACCCUGAGAUUAAUAUUUUUAAGACUUUUCUUCACAGGUGUGACUUUCCAAAAGAUUCACACCAUUUAUACAUUUUCUAGGAGUGUAUAAUGAGACGUCCUUGGGCUUUUUCAUCAGCACUGGCUUUAGAAGGGAUAGAGUGACUUUUAAAGGUCAAGGUAACAAGGACGGGGCCGGGUGGCUCAGUCAGUUGAGUGACCAAUUUCAGCUCAGGUCAUGAUCUCACGGUUGGUGGGUUUGAGCUCUCCUUUGGGCUCUGUGCUGACAGCUCAGAGCCUGGAGCCUGCUUCAGAUUCUGUGUCUCUCCCUAUCUCUGCCCUCCCCUGCUUGCACUCUCUCUAAAAUAAACAUUAAGAAAAAUAUUUUAAAAAUAAUAAACGUCAAGGUAACUAGGGGCGCCUGGGUGACACAGUUGAUUAAGCAUCCAACUUCAGCUCAGGUCAUGAUCUGGUGGUUCGUGAGGGCUUGAAUUUCAAGCCCCACAGCAAGCUCUGUGCUGACAGCUCAGAGCCUGGAAGCUGCUUUGGAUUCUAUGUCUCCUUCUCUUUCUGCCCCUCCCCCACUCAUGCUCUGUCUCUCUCUCUCAAAAACAAACAUUAAAAAAAUAAAUAAAUGCCAAGGUAACCACACUGCAAAUGUAUAGGGCUUCUCAUGGAUGCAGUUUCCUUGUGGUUCAUGACAAUCUUCCCCAACCAUGAUCAGUUCCCAUUCUCCAACAAUCUGUUCUUUCCUUAAAAGAGCCUUUCAGUUUGCAGCACGAGUUAGUAAUAAGUACUGCUGCCCAUUAGAGGUCACUUUCGGCUAGAUGUGAUAGAAGAUCUCUCUAAAUCUCUUAUCAGCUGACCAGCAAGUCUUGCUCUGAACACAAUAAGGAUUUGUCUGUUUCUAAAAGAACACUAGUGUCAUUAGAUAUGUCCACUUAAGCCUCAUUUAAGUCCUUAAUCCAGACUUGAAUCUGUGAUAACAACUCAAACGGUACACGCCUUUGCUAAGUUCUGCUGGAAGAAAAAUAACGACAGUGACAUCUAGUCAUAUAAGCACUAUGUUCCAGAUGACUAUCUGUUUCACAAAUAUUAACUCACUUCCCAUCUUUCAAAAACCAUACAGUGUGUGUUGGGGGGAACCCAUGAAGAGGUGAUUUCACACAGCUAGUAAGUGGUUGAACCAGAAUUCUAACCCAAAUAGUUUGUUCCAGAGUCCAAAACCACUUAUACUUAUAUACUUAUACUUAACGUAUAUACCUAUAUAUACGUAUAUACUUAUACUUAACGUAUAUACUUAUAUAUACGUAUAACGUAUAACGUAUAUACUUAUACUUAACCACUAUACUGUGUAUCAACCUGCAUGGCUUUAUUGGAGUCCCAUUUUAAUUAGAUCUUUCUAUAUCUUUCCAAACCUGGAAUCACUGGCUUCUUUAUAAAACAUCCACAUAAUGAGAUUUAAAAUCAUCAGAGGUCUUUUGGAGGUUAGCAGUGGAUGCUUAUCAGCUGUGUGCCACUGGGAAUUAGUCCAGUGGAGACAUAUCUGAGCCCAGUUUGACCUCCGUGGUUACAGGCUGGCCAGGUCCUGGGAUCAACCCCAGUAACCCAGCAGCUCCACCAACACCCUGUUCAGGUGAUCAGACAAUCUGAGGUCACCAGCUUUUCCCUGCUUGGCCCUUGCUUCCUAGAAAAGUAGCAGCUUGCUUUGGAAGCUGCUUCAAAUUAAUCCCUCAAGGUACCUGAUAAGGUUUCAGACCUUCUUUCCUUGGCGGGGGGUGGUGAAAGAGGGCAGGGGUUCUAGUGUUAGACUGACCUGCACUAGAAACCCUGUGCCCCUGCUCAGUGCUGUGUCACCUUGGGCAGAACUGCUUAACUCCGUGAGCCUGAGUUUCCUCAUCUGUGAGUACUCUCCUGGCACAAAUGUUGAGAGAAUUAGUGAUGAAUGUAAAGGAUAUUGGCAGAGGGUAGGAAGUACUUGGUAGGUUUUAUUAUUACCACUUCCUUAAAGGUACAGCCCAAUUCCCACCAAUCAGAAUAGCUGACCCUGAUGUGUCCUCGGUGGUUCUGUCCUUUUUCUCAAACACCAGUGCCUCUAACUGCCUGUGUUAUCCCUUGAGCAAUGAAAACACAUCACUCUUGCUGGCAAGUGUCAUCUCUUGUGUCUGGCCUAAUUCUCCAACUAGACUUCAGUCAAGUCUGGGGCUGCCCUUUAUACCUUUUCAUAUCCCUAGUCUUAACCAAGGACCCAAAACAGUAAGUGCUCAGUAAAUGACUGCUGAUGACAGAGACUAAUUGAAGUUACUUCACAAGUAUUUAUGGAGAUUUUACCAAGCAUCAGGCAAUGGACAAGGCUCUGAGAAAGUGAGGUGAUUAAAACCUGGCCAAAGGAACUCUUGCUCUGGCUAAAAGUUUCUGCUAAAGCCAAAACAGUUCAUGCACCUUUCCAGGCAUCCAAUUCCCAGAGAACGACUUUCUCUGUUGAGGCAAUCUGGUUCACUGUGUCUCCAACAAAAGGCAAAGCCAAGCCCACAGGCCAGAGCCCUUUUCACCGUGGAGAGUACAUACCAUGGCAAUUAGUGCCCAAGGACCUUGGUGCCAUUCGGGACCUCACUAGCUAGCUGUUCUGUCCUUAAGACCAGCCAGCAGCCCCUGAGAUGGUGAGCACAGGAGACAGUCCAUGCUCUCCCCACAAGGGGUCAGCGCAAGACCACGAGUGCUAGAGGACCUAGUCAGUGAUGGACUCCUUCCCCAGGACUCAUCCCAACCAUGCAGUAUUUGAAUGAUUUGUUCUUGGGUGGAGUGGAUGAAAAGGGAGAGAAUGGGUUGGAAAAAAAUGAAACUAUCUGUUGAAUGUGCAAGCUGCUGCAGUCAUGAAAUCAAACAAUGUUUCACUAAAUAUUUUUAAUGCAAAGAAAUCAGGUAAUUUGAGGGUUUCAAAAAACAAACACUGUCAGGAAAACAAAUGAUAACUGAAGAAAAUACUAUGCAUUAGCAAAAGCUCUACUCUUUCAUUUGCAAAAGCAAAAUGACUUUUUUUUUUUCUCCAGGAAAAGGAAGGCCUUCAGAAGUUAAAAGAAAUGCAGUUUACUGACUAAGCCCUUCUCUGCAACAGAAACAAAGAACCUUCCCUCUUAUCUGGGCUCAGAACUGGCAAGCAACCUCAAUGUGGGCACUUGAUAAAUAUUCACUGAUGAUGAAAAUGUUCACACUGCAAAGAAACCAUCCUGUUAUUUCAAGAAGCCUUCUGAAAUGCCAGUGAUUGAAGCCGGAUCUUGACUGUCCUUUGCAAAUCUUGAACAAGAAAAGCCCAGUUCAGCUGGUCACGUGGAACAAAACAGAACAAGAACAGUGGAUUAAUCUCUUCUGGUGUCUGGGGUUGUGACUGGCAAACUGAGGCAGUGGGUAGGGUUUUGAAAUAACCACUCCCAACCCAUCCA